AUUGAACGCUGGCGGCAGGCUUAACACAUGCAAGUCGAGCGGAUGAGAGGAGCUUGCUUCUCGAUUCAGCGGCGGACGGGUGAGUAAUGCCUAGGAAUCUGCCUGGUAGUGGGGGACAACGUUUCGAAAGGAACGCUAAUACCGCAUACGUCCUACGGGAGAAAGCUGGGGACCUUCGGGCCUUGCGCUAUCAGAUGAGCCUAGGUCGGAUUAGCUAGUUGGUGAGGUAAUGGCUCACCAAGGCGACGAUCCGUAACUGGUCUGAGAGGAUGAUCAGUCACACUGGAACUGGGACACGGUCCAGACUCCUACGGGAGGCAGCAGUGGGGAAUAUUGGACAAUGGGCGAAAGCCUGAUCCAGCCAUGCCGCGUGUGUGAAGAAGGUCUUCGGAUUGUAAAGCACUUUAAGUUGGGAGGAAGGGCAGUAAGCUAAUACCUUGCUGUUUUGACGUUACCGACAGAAUAAGCACCGGCUAACUCUGUGCCAGCAGCCGCGGUAAGAC
rnacentral:rRNA from 1 species